rnacentral:rRNA from 1 species
UAGUAGCGAAGUAGCUGAUUUCACACUGUCAAGAAAAGUCUCUAUCGAGGUUAAAGGUACCCGUACCGCAAACCGACACAGGUGGGUGAGGAGAGUAUCCUAAGGCCAGCGAGAGAACUGUUGUUAAGGAACUCGGCAAAAUGACCCCGUAACUUAGGGAUAAGGGGUGCCACCAUCAGGUGGCCGCAGAGAAUAGGCCCAAGCGACUGUUUACCAAAAACAUAGGUUUCUGCUAAGUCGCAAGACGAUGUAUAGGAGCUGACGCCUGCCCGGUGCUGGAAGGUUAAGGGGAUCUGUUAGAGCAAUCGAAGCAGUGAACUUAAGCCCCAGUAAACGGCGGCCGUAACUAUAACGGUCCUAAGGUAGCGAAAUUCCUUGUCGGGUAAGUUCCGACCCGCACGAAAGGCGUAACGAUUUGGGCACUGUCUCAACAACAGACUCGGUGAAAUUGUAAUUCCGGUGAAGAUGCCGGAUACCUGCGACAGGACGGAAAGACCCCAUGGAGCUUUACUGUAGCUUGACAUUGGGUCUUGGUACUACAUGUACAGGAUAGGUGGGAGGCUUUGAAACCAGGACGCCAGUUUUGGCGGAGCCAUCCUUGGGAUACCACCCUUGUA